rnacentral:rRNA from 1 species
GAAGGGUGCAAGCGUUAAUCGGAAUUACUGGGCGUAAAGCGCGCGUAGGUGGUUCAGCAAGUUGGAGGUGAAAUCCCCGGGCUCAACCUGGGAACUGCCUCCAAAACUACUGAGCUAGAGUACGGUAGAGGGUAGUGGAAUUUCCUGUGUAGCGGUGAAAUGCGUAGAUAUAGGAAGGAACACCAGUGGCGAAGGCGACUACCUGGACUGAUACUGACACUGAGGUGCGAAAGCGUGGGGAGCAAAC